GUGCCAGCCGCCGCGGUAAUACAUAGGGUGCUAGCGUUAUCCGGAUUUAUUGGGUGUAAAGGGUGCGUAGACGGGACAGCAAGUUAGUUGUGAAAUCCCUCGGCUUAACUGAGGAACUGCAACUAAAACUACUGAUCUUGAGUGCGGGAGAGGAAAGUGGAAUUCCUAGUGUAGCGGUGAAAUGCGUAGAUAUUAGGAGGAACACCAGUGGCGAAGGCGACUUUCUGGACCGUAACUGACGUUGAGGCACGAAAGUGUGGGGAGCAAACAGGAUUAGAUACCCUGGUAGUCCACACUGUAAACGAUGGAUACAAGGUGUAGGGUGUAUUAAGCAUUCUGUGCCGACGCAAACGCAAUAAGUAUCCCACCUGGGGAGUACGACCGCAAGGUUGAAACUCAAAGGAAUUGACGGGGGCCCGCACAAGCAGUGGAGUAUGUGGUUUAAUUCGAUGCAACGCGAAGAACCUUACCAGGGCUUGACAUAUGCACGAAAGUUCUAGAGAUAGAACCCCUUUUCGAAGUGUGCAUACAGGUGGUGCAUGGUUGUCGUCAGCUCGUGUCGUGAGAUGUUGGGUUAAGUCCCGCAACGAGCGCAACCCCUGUGAUUAGUUGCUAACAUUAAGUUGAGAACUCUAGUCAGACUGCCGUUGAUAAAACGGAGGAAGGUGGGGAUGACGUCAAAUCAUCAUGCCCUUUAUGUCCUGGGCUACACACGUACUACAAUGGGUGUUACAGAGAGUCGCAAUACAGCGAUGUGGAGCAAAACUCAAAAAGCACCCUCAGUUCGGAUUGAAGGCUGAAAUUCGCCUUCAUGAAGCUGGAAUUGCUAGUAAUGGCAGGUCAGCAUACUGCCGUGAAUACGUUCCCGGGCCUUGUACACACCGCCCGU
rnacentral:rRNA from 1 species